GCCAGACUCCUACGGGAGGCAGCAGUGGGGAAUAUUGCACAAUGGGGGAAACCCUGAUGCAGCAACGCCGCGUGGGUGAAGAAGUAUUUCGGUAUGUAAAGCUCUAUCAGCAGGGAAGAAGAUGACGGUACCUGACCAAGAAGCCCCGGCUAACUACGUGCCAGCAGCCGCGGUAAUACGUAGGGGGCAAGCGUUAUCCGGAUUUACUGGGUGUAAAGGGAGCGCAGACGGCAGUGCAAGUCUGGAGUGAAAGCCCGGGGCCCAACCCCGGAACUGCUCUGGAAACUGUGCGGCUAGAGUACUGGAGGGGCAGGCGGAAUUCCUAGUGUAGCGGUGAAAUGCGUAGAUAUUAGGAGGAACACCAGUGGCGAAGGCGGCCUGCUGGACUGAAACUGACGCUGAGGCACGAAAGCGUGGGGAGCGAACAGGAUUAGAUACCCCUGUACU
rnacentral:rRNA from 1 species